AACGAACGCUGGCGGCGUGCCUAACACAUGCAAGUCGCGCGAGAAAGCGGGGGCAACUCCGUGAGUAAAGCGGCGCACGGGUGAGUAAUACGUAGGUAACCUACCUCCGAGACCGGGAUAACCUUCCGAAAGGAGGGCUAAUACUGGAUGAGACCACGGGACCUCGGUUCCGCGGUCAAAGGUGGCCACUACUUGUAAGCUACCACUCAGAGAUGGGCCUGCGCACCAUUAGCUAGUUGGCGAGGUAACGGCUCACCAAGGCGAAGAUGGUUAGCUGAUCUGAGAGGAUGAUCAGCCACACUGGGACUGAGACACGGCCCAGACUCCUACGGGAGGCAGCAGUGGGGAAUCUGGGACAAUGGGCGCAAGCCUGAUCCAGCCAUGCCGCGUGAGUGAUGAAGGCCUUUUGGUUGUAAAGCACUUUAAGCGAGGAGGAGGCUCUUAAGGUUAAUACCCUUGAUGAGUGGACGUUACUCGCAGAAUAAGCACCGGCUAACUCUGUGCCAGCCGCCGCCGUAAUAC
rnacentral:rRNA from 1 species